rnacentral:tRNA from 1 species
GAGGGUAUAGCUCAGUGGUAGAGUGUGCGCUUAAAAUGCACAGGGUCCGGGGUUCAAUCUCCAGUACCUCUA